rnacentral:rRNA from 1 species
UGGAAAAAUUUGAUCCUGGCUCAGGAUGAACGCUGGCGGCGUGCUUAACACAUGCAAGUCGAACGAUGAAGCCCAGCUUGCUGGGUGGAUUAGUGGCGAACGGGUGAGUAACACGUGAGUAACCUGCCCUUAACUCUGGGAUAAGCCUGGGAAACUGGGUCUAAUACCGGAUAGGAGCGUCCACCGCAUGGUGGGUGUUGGAAAGAUUUAUCGGUUUUGGAUGGACUCGCGGCCUAUCAGCUUGUUGGUGAGGUAAUGGCUCACCAAGGCGACGACGGGUAGCCGGCCUGAGAGGGUGACCGGCCACAUUGGGACUGAGACACGGCCCAGACUCCUACGGGAGGCAGCAGUGGGGAAUAUUGCACAAUGGGCGAAAGCCUGAUGCAGCGACGCCGCGUGAGGGAUGACGGCCUUCGGGUUGUAACCCUCUUUCAGUAGGGAAGAAGCGAAAG